UCUUCUUAAAUGAAAAAGCUGAAACAACAAGGCAAUGAAAGAAGCGCUUAUGCACGUCAAGAGGUUGCGUUCUUCAUCCAGUUCAUCGCUUGUGCCAGAAUUAUUGCUUUCAAGAGCCAUCAACACCGUGGACAUCGUGUAUUGCGUCAUCGUCACCGUGUUCGUGGAUUCCGCGUUUUCAUGUGCGUCUUCUCCUUCGAUUUGUGCAAAAUGUAUGAGCAGCAAACAGAUUCAUAUUCACCAUGUGGCUUCAUCAUCCGGUCGAAUUCGUCGUCUUCAUCGACUCCGUAUUUCAAGAUUCUACAUCGAAACUAAAGAUCUAUGAAAAUCCGCAUCUCGCACGUGGAAUGGUUAAGCGCCGCGUAUGAAUUAAUAAUCGAAUCAAGAAGAAAACUUACUGGAUUGGAUUUGUUGAAUCAGGUUAUUUACGUACGCGGAAUCGGAGCUCCGACACUAUGCUUUUUGCUUCUUCUCUUUCCGUUCCGGUGGUCUGAGGAUGAAUUGGAGAUAAGUACUGAGGUCUGAAUGGGAUGGUGAUGUCGGCAAAUUUGAUGAUUCUGCCACUGCAGGGACUUGCUCCAGGAUGAUUAUGCAGGAUGUACCUUAAGGGGUUUUGCUGUGAUCUGUUAAACAAAUAUCUUGCAGGUUGUAUGUUAAUCUUGGAGUUGUGCUUGGAUAUGACUUGGAUGAAAAUAGCAUGUAGUUUGAUUUUUUUUUUAGAUUGAAUUAGGAGUUAUGAUUUUAUUAUAAAUAUGCAUUGAUUUGGUUGAAUGCUACUUGUUUUUUUCAAUUUGGAAAGUUGUAAAGAUGGUUAUGUAAUGAAUGAAAGUUUGAAUGCAAUAAAUUGCAUUAUGGAAAGCUUUUUUA